rnacentral:misc_RNA from 1 species
AACGCACCUUGCACCCUCUCAUGGGGGGUAUACGUGUUUGAGAAUCGUAUAUGAAUCUUGUCUCUGACUUUGAGGCAGAAUUGAGUGCUGGUAAAAAAGCGCUCUAAAUGCAGUAGUGUAACGCUGCGUUGGUCGCAUGGACACUGUGUGCUGGGACUGCUAGUCUACUCACGGUGCGUCGAUGCGCUGUGUGUGUUGUGUGUGUGUGUGUGUGUGUUCUGCGUGAACCAUGCAUAUAUAUAUGCGCACUAGCCGACGUGGAAAGUGCGCUCUCAGUGUGUGUGUGGUGGUGUGGUGUGGUGUGGUGUGGUGUGGUGCAUGAUAUUAGUAUCAUCAUCAUCAUAAUCAUCAUCAUCACCACCACAUAUAUACAAUACACGAACACUGAUCUCAAAUCACGUAAGACUACCCGCUGAACUUAA